GCCGGUUUAACUCAGUAGGUAGAGCAACUGACUUGUAAUCAGUAGGUUGCCAGUUCGAUUACGUUAAAUCGGUA
rnacentral:tRNA from 1 species